rnacentral:sRNA from 1 species
CCCUAGCCCCGAUAGAGCCGAUAUCCUUUUUAUAUCGAUGACAAUCGAGAUAAAAAGAUAAAGGCGAAAGCGGGAUUAGCU